UACGUAGGUGGCAAGCGUUUGUCCGGAUUUAUUGGGUUUAAAGGGUGCGUAGGCGGUUUUCUAAGUCAGCAGUGAAAUACGGCAGCUCAACUGUCGAGGUGCUGUUGAUACUGGGGAACUUGAGUACUGAUGAGGUAGGCGGAAUGGACGGUGUAGCGGUGAAAUGCUUAGAGAUCGUCCAGAACACCGAUAGCGAAGGCAGCUUACUAAGGAGUAACUGACGCUGAGGCACGAAAGUGUGGGGAUCAAACAGG
rnacentral:rRNA from 1 species